rnacentral:SRP_RNA from 1 species
GGGUAGGCUAGACUGGGCGGUUAGCUCUCGCUUGUUAUCGCAAAUGAGCUAUAUGGUGAAGUCGAAUGCCUGAUUGAGGCUUUAAUCUUUAUUAUUGGUCUCAACUUGGACGUUGAUCCUUUGUCUCAUGGGAUCGUUGUUUUUGGGAAUCAAGUCAGAUCCGGAAGGAAGCAGCUUUUACCUUAAAUAUCGAUGCUUGUGAAUCGCAGAGAGGAGGAAAAGUUGAGGUCAACCCAAUAAUAUCGUUUAUUGUCGAUUUCAGGAUGCCUGCAU